GUGUAGCGGCACGCGUGUUGUGUCACCGUGUGUCGCCUUUUCCCCGACGCUGUGAUUUGGAUUCCCUAUUUCUCUGCGUGUGUUUGCCCUCGUGAGAUUCACAACGUGACAGCGCACAAGUCCAAAAGUGGUAAUGCGAAUGGGGAUACCAAGGAUACGAAGGAUACGCCGAUGUUGGGGCGAAGAUCCUUUGGGUUGACCCACGGGGCCUACACCUGGGAAGCACAAUGACUUCGACGACGACAGCGACACGUGCCAAGGACACUGAUUUAUAUGUUUUCCAUUUUUGUUUUAUUAGCGGCCUCGCAUCCAUCCCCCCUCGGCACAACCCGCCCGACUUUUCCCCGGGAAAACGUGCAUGGAAUU
ensembl:ncRNA lncRNA:CR44787 long non-coding RNA:CR44787